AGUGAACGCUGGCGGUAGGCCUAACACAUGCAAGUCGAACGGCAGCACAGUAAGAGCUUGCUCUUACGGGUGGCGAGUGGCGGACGGGUGAGGAAUACAUAGGAAUCUACUUUUUCGUGGGGGAUAACGUAGGGAAACUUACGCUAAUACAGCAUACGACCUACGGGUGAAAGCAGGGGAUCUUCGGACCUUGCGCGAUAGAAUGAGCCGAUGUCGGAUUAGCUAGUUGGCGGGGUAAAGGCACACCAAGGCGAGGAUCCUUAGCUGGUCUGAGAGGAUGAUCGGCCCCACUGGAACUGAGACACGUUCCAGACUCCUACGGGAGGCAGCAGUGGGGAAUUUUGGACAAUGGGCGCAAGCCUGAUCCAGCCAUACCGCGUGGGUGAAGAAGGCCUUCGGGUUGUAAAGCCCUUUUGUUGGGAAAGAAAAGCAGCAGGUUAAUACCCCGCUGUUCUGACGGUACCCAAAGAAUAAGCACCGGCUAACUUCGUG
rnacentral:rRNA from 1 species